AAAGCGUUCUCGGCGGCAGCGCAACAACUAGAACCGUGAGAACGCGUCCAGCAACCGCGACCACGACGACGUCACCUCGGGCACGCCCAAGGAGAAGAAAGCCCAGACCUCUAAGAAGAAGCAGAGCUCCAUGGCCAAGGCGUAGCGGCAGGCGUCCCCCGCAGACCUCCCCAUCGACCCCAGCGAGCCCUCCUACUGGGAGAUGAUCCGCUGCGACAACGAAUGCCCCAUCGAGUGGUUCCGCUUCUCGUGUGUGAGUCUCAACCAUAAACCAAAGCGCAAGUGGUACUGUUCCAGAUGCCGGGGAAAGAACGAUGGGCAAAGCCCUUGAGAAGUCCAGAAAAAAAACAGGGCUUAUAACAGGUAGUUUGGGGACAUGCGUCUAAUAGUGAGGAGAACAAAAUAAGCCAGUGUGUUGAUUACAUUGCCACCUUUGCUGAGGUGCAGGAAGUGUAAAAUGUAUAUUUUUAAAGAAUGUUGUUAGAGGCCGGGCGCGGUGGCUCACGCCUGUAAUCCCAGCACUUUGGGAGGCCGAGGCGGUCGGAUCACGAGGUCAGGAGAUCGAGACCAUCCUGGCUAACACGGUGAAACCCCGUCUCUACUAAAAAUUCAAAAAAAAAAUUAGCUGGGCGUGGUGGCGGGCGCCUGUAGUCCCAGCUAUUCGGGAGGCUGAGGCAGGAGAAUGGCAUGAACCUGGGAGGUGGAGCUUGCAGUGAGCCAAGGUCGCGCCACUGCACUCCAGCCUGGGCGACAGAGCGAGACUCCAUCU